rfam:Bartonella australis Aust/NH1, complete genome.
UGCCGGGUGUGGUUACGCCAUACAAUACCCUUAUGGGGAAAGCGUGACGACGGGCUUGUUGCCGUGUUUUUCAGCGCCCGGCAACCUUCUA